rnacentral:rRNA from 1 species
UAGGGAAUCUUCCACAAUGGGCGAAAGCCUGAUGGAGCAACGCCGCGUGGGUGUGAUGAAGGGUUUCGGCUCGUAAAACACUGUUGUAAGAGAAGAAUGACAUUGAGAGUAACUGUUCAAUGUGUGACGGUAUCUUACCAGAAAGGAACGGCUAAAUACGCGCCAG